ACUAUUUUGGCAGAGAAAAUGUAAUGGUUUUAGAAAUCGUCAAUAUAUAAUGUUUAUUAUAUAGGUAGUA
rnacentral:tRNA from 1 species